CAUUUUCGUCUCCUUCAUUCUUAUAUUUUGAUCUAAUAUUAUACAAUUAUUUUACUUGUGACUCUCUCUCUCUCUCUCUCUCUCUCUCUCUCUCCAAAAACCUCCGUCCAUCGAUCUGUGUUUCCAUGGCGACGAUGGGACACAACAAUCUCAAUGCAAAACUCGUCUUGCUCGGCGACAUGGGAGCUGGUAAAUCGAGCCUCGUAUUGCGAUUCGUCAAGGGCCAAUUCCUCGAAUUCCAGGAAUCGACGAUCGGAGCAGCGUUCUUCUCGCAGACGCUAGCGGUUGAUGACGCGACUGUGAAAUUCGAGAUCUGGGAUACCGCUGGCCAAGAGAGGUAUCACAGCUUAGCCCCAAUGUACUACAGAGGUGCAGCUGCUGCUAUCAUCGUUUACGACAUCACUAGCACGGAUUCAUUUACGCGGGCAAAGAAAUGGGUGCAAGAACUUCAGAAACAAGGUAAUCCUAACAUGGUGAUGGCACUUGCUGGGAAUAAAGCGGAUUUGGAAGAUAAGAGGAAAGUGACGGCAGAAAUCUCAUAUAGAAAACCCUUAUUCCCUUCCCUCUUCGAUGGUGGUGGUGGAAGAUCGUGGAUGGUGUUGAUACGUGGCAGCGAUGGUGAUGAGCGGUUGCUGUGGUGGUGGCUAUGAGUUCGUGGCUGUGGAGGCACGUGUGUAUGCUGAGGAAAAUGGUCUUUUUUUCGUGGAGACCUCUGCCAAAACUGCCGCUAAUGUCAAUGAUGCAUUCUAUGAAAUAGCUAAGAGGUUGCCUAGAGCUCAGCCGGCUCAGAACCCGGCAGGGAUGGUUCUUGUGGACAGACCAGCAGAAGGAUCCCGAACUGCAUCGUGCUGUUCCUAAGUAUAGUCUUCUAUAGUUUGUACCUUUUUUUUUUUUUUUUUUUUUUUUCUACGACUGUUGUUUUAUUUUAAUUUCCUUGUACUUAUUCAUCAUUCUAUAGUUGUAUGAUUUUAAUUUGAAGCAAGUAACUUUAAUUGUUACAAAUUGAUGAAUACCAUUUUCAAUGGUAGAACCAUAUGAGACGAAAAAUGUACACUACUCUAUGUGAAGUACACUUCUAAUGAGUAUAUCCUUGCAAAGAAAAAAAUAGUAGAAAAUGUUGGGUGACUACA